ensembl:snRNA U6 U6 spliceosomal RNA
GUCCUCCCUUCGGCAGCACAUAUACUAAAAAUUGGAACGAUAUAGAGAAGAUUAGCAUGGUCCCUGUGCAAGGAUGACAUGCAAAUUCAUGAAGCAUUCCAUAUUAAA